rnacentral:misc_RNA from 1 species
AAUAACAGCCUUGAUCAGUCUGUCAUCGAUCUUGCAUAGGAUGAGAGACAUUUUCUGCAAAUUUUUCAGGGGGAAGGUAGAUUCUGUCCAUUGGGCAAUUGAAACUUUUUCAAGCCAAAGGCUUUUCAAAUUGGCUAAAUCAGAAAAAGCUGAAAAAUUUUUAAGUACUGCAUUUCGUGUGCUGUAAUUUAUCACUAUCAGUGCUCUAAGCCUUGGCAUGUCAUAUAUGAAGGGAGGCAAGAAGUACUCAUUAGC